UACGAAGGGUGCAAGCGUUGCUCGGAAUUAUUGGGCGUAAAGCGCACGUAGGCGGCAUUGCAAGUCGGAUGUGAAAUCCCUCGGCUUAACCAAGGAAGUGCAUCCGAAACUGCAGUGCUUGAGUACGAAAGAGGAUCGCGGAAUUCCCGGUGUAGAGGUGAAAUUCGUAGAUAUCGGAAGGAACAUCAGUGGCGAAAGCGACUUCCUGGACCAGUACCGACGUUCAGGCACGAAAGCGUGGGGAGCAAACAGG
rnacentral:rRNA from 1 species